GUUCGAGUGGCAGAUUCUGGUAAUUGCGAAAGGCCUAAGCCCUUUGUAUAGAGGUUCAAGUCCUCUCUCCAACU
rnacentral:tRNA from 1 species